UGUGUGUGAGCACAUCUCUUAUUUAAUAACUCCAUGACAUUGUACUUUCUCGUUUAGAUAUCAAAUGUAAUUUAUUAUCUAUAAAAGGUUCUUAUUCUGUAACAUGAAUGAUCAAUCCCCUCCAAAAUAUUUGGUAUCUCUUCCUUAUUCACAAUUUAACUGGUCUAGGAAGUAAGAUUCUUCCUUUGGCUUGUUGCAUCUGGGUUCUGGACUAAAAACAAGGAAUGUCAAAUUACUUGUAACAUACUCCAAACUUAUACUAGGCACUGGUGUCUGUAUCUAUGGUCCUAAUCAGUGGGGCGAAACAUUAUAUAGAUCGAUAAGAAUAUGGUUGUUGUAAUGCUUCUUGAGAUGCUCAAAAUUGAAAUAGACCAUGAUAACUUGUAGCUUAAUUAUUAGAGCCAGUAAUAUGAUCAGCUUUAUGCUUUUACAGAAAUAAGUUUAUUAUGAAAUUUCAAGUGUGUGUAGUGUUUUUUGUAUAUAAUUCCUCAAAUGAGCUAAUGUCAAUUAUGGUGGCACAUAUGUCUCAAUUCUCAUGCUGCAUGAAACAUAAAUGAGAAAAAUAUCUGCUCAAUAACCUGGUUUGUUGUUGCAGUUAUAAUGCUGAUUGUAAGGGGUAAGAUGAAAGGCACUGCACAAGCAUAGGUAGACCGUGAAUGAGAAAAGUAUCUGCUCAAUUCUCAUGUUGCAUCUGAUCUGAUCUGAUCUGAUCCUUCAAUAAGAUGCAUAGUAGAAGUGAGACUACCACUGUUACUUCAAGCAACAAGUAAAACCACAAUGAAUGUAUGUUUUGUGUGGAUGUCUUCCUUUCCAGUUACCUUUUAUGAAGCCUGAAAUCGAUCAUAGAUCUCCCUGUAGAGUAUAAUUCUACGACCACUAUGCUUAAGCUAUAUAUAAAUUAGCUAAAAACUGUUGGUUUUGAUUAUUAUUUUUUUUAAAAAAUUCUAUAUUUGUAUUCUUGAACCUAAUUUAUAUUUGUAUUCUUGAACCUAAUUGUAACUUCUCGUUGCUGGCAGAGUGGCAGGUAAUGACCCUAAAGAACUAUUGGAUUACCAGGAGCUCAAAUGUCUAUUUGAACACUGUCUUCACUUCUGCAAGCUUGAAGAGAAUAAUCAUGGUCGAAAUUGUCACUUAAGAAGCCAAUAUAUUCUUAUUUUUGUGUUUCAGUACCUGUAGUAGUAAAUUGUACAGGGGAGUAAUGUAUAAGAUUGGGCACAGGAGAUAAUAUUGUUGUUUGUUAUGGUUAUUAUAAUUAUUUGUUAUUGAUAGAGCAGUUAAAUAAUCAGGUUCUUGGCGGUGAACUCUCUUACUGAUUUAAAUAAAAAGAGCUGAGCUCGACUUCUUGAUUUA
rnacentral:lncRNA from 1 species